rnacentral:rRNA from 1 species
UACGUAGGGCGCGAGCGUUGUCCGGAAUUAUUGGGCGUAAAGGGCUUGUAGGCGGCUGGUCGCGUCUGCCGUGAAAUCCUCUGGCUUAACUGGGGGCGUGCGGUGGGUACGGGCUGGCUUGAGUGCGGUAGGGGAGGCUGGAACUCCUGGUGUAGCGGUGGAAUGCGCAGAUAUCAGGAAGAACACCGGUGGCGAAGGCGGGUCUCUGGGCCGUUACUGACGCUGAGGAGCGAAAGCGUGGGGAGCGAACAGG